UCUCUAUCAUUACAAAAAACCAAACACAUUAAUUAUCCCGAUAAAUCAAUACAAAUCGAACAUAAUCGAAAUAUAUAUAAUCAGUACUUUACCUCUAUUAAAAGCUUUAACAGAAUCGAUUAAAACUCUAAUCAGUUUUAGGGUUUUGCUCAAAUAAUUGUCCUAAUCAAUUUAGGGUUUCAGAAAGGAGCAGGAGAUGGGAGACAGAAGAGCAGUUGGUGCAAGAGAGAUGAGCGAAGAAGAAGAGUAAUAGGUGCGAGAGAGAUGAGUGAAAGAGAAGAGCGGAGCGGAGGGAGGCGAUUCAGGAGAGGGCUGGGAGAGGAGAGAGCAGGAGAGAUGUUU
rnacentral:lncRNA from 1 species